UAAAGAGGGGGCAAGCGUUGUUCGGAAUUACUGGGCGUAAAGGGCGCGUAGGCGGCCUGCUAAGUCGAACGUGAAAUCCCUGGGCUCAACCCAGGAACUGCGUCCGAUACUGGUUGGCUUGAAUCCGGGAGAGGGAUGUGGAAUUCCAGGUGUAGCGGUGAAAUGCGUAGAUAUCUGGAGGAACACCGGUGGCGAAGGCGACAUCCUGGACCGGUAUUGACGCUGAGGCGCGAAAGCCAGGGGAGCAAACGGG
rnacentral:rRNA from 1 species